rnacentral:rRNA from 1 species
AGAGUUUGAUCCUGGCUCAGAACGAACGCUGGCGGCGUGCUUAACACAUGCAAGUCGAACGCGAAAGGGACUUCGGUCCUGAGUAAAGUGGCGCACGGGUGAGUAACGCGUGGAUAAUCUGCCCUUAUGAUUGGAAUAACAGUUGGAAACGGCUGCUAAUACCGGAUACGCUCAAAAUGAACUUUUUGAGGAAAGAUGGCCUCUGCUUGCAUGCUAUCGCAUAAGGAUGAGUCCGCGUCCCAUUAGCUUGUUGGCGGGGUAACGGCCCACCAAGGCAACGAUGGGUAGCCGAUUUGAGAGGAUGAUCGGCCACACUGGAACUGAAACACGGUCCAGACUCCUACGGGAGGCAGCAGUGGGGAAUAUUGCGCAAUGGGCGAAAGCCUGACGCAGCGACGCCGCGUGAGGGAUGAAGGUUUUCGGAUCGUAAACCUCUGUCAGAAGGGAAGAAACUACGUUGUGCUAAUCAGCAGCGUACUGACGGUACCUUCAAAGGAAGCACCGGCUAACUCCGUGCCAGCAGCCGCGGUAAU